GAUGAACGCUAGCUACAGGCUUAACACAUGCAAGUCGAGGGGAAACGAUAGAGAAAGCUUGCUUUUUCUAGGCGUCGACCGGCGCACGGGUGAGUAACGCGUAUCCAACCUGCCCACCACUUGGGGAUAACCUUGCGAAAGUAAGACUAAUACCCAAUGACGUCUCUAGAAGACAUCUGAAAGGGAUUAAAGAUUUAUCGGUGAUGGAUGGGGAUGCGUCUGAUUAGCUUGUUGGCGGGGUAACGGCCCACCAAGCCAUCGAUCAGUAGGGGUUCUGAGAGGAAGGUCCCCCCACAUUGGAACUGAGACACGGUCCAAACUCCUACGGGAGGCAGCAGUGAGGAAUAUUGGUCAAUGGGCGAGAGCCCUGAACCAGCCAAGUAGCGUGCAGGACGACGGCCCUAUGGGUUGUAAACUGCUUUUAUACGGGAAUAAAGUGGGCCAGCGUGGUCUUUUGCAUGUACCGUAUGAAUAAGGACGGCUAAUUCCGUG
rnacentral:rRNA from 1 species